UGCUCAUUUUUUCUUGUCCAUCAUAGGCUGCAACUUGUGAUUUGAUGAACUAUCAUCAGAACUACUGUUGAAAGAGGAAAAAGUUUAUGAGAUCAUAUUCUUACCUCUUAUAUUACUAUAUGUAGUAUUAAGGAUUUGUAAGUGCGAAAGAACUUGCCAUUCUUGGUUUGGGCGAGAUAUGUCCUUACAAAUUCUCCAACUUUAACAUGUGGAAUUUGAAUUCCGACGGCAUAUCUCAUCUUCAUGAUGUGUAUGUUCAAAUACCAAAAGGAUGUUGUCGCGAGUUCCUCACGAUCACUUUUAGAGACGCCUAUGUCCUGCUAUAUAUGAAAAACAAUUCAGAGCCACCUAUUUUAUUCUAUGUGAGAAUUAAAUGUACAAAUCUUCAUGUACACAAGAACUAAUCACUAACUACAGCACAUGUGUAGCUAACAAAAGAAGCAGACCCUUGGUGACAAUCUGAGUGAUUUGCAUCUCCUGCCAUUUUUGAACCCUGCAAGUUGCCCCUUUUUGGAACACACAAAAUCCAUUAGUAGCUAAUCUGUAAAGUGAUGAAUGAAACACAGAAAAUCCAUUAGCACCGUUUAUUCUUCCAUUGAGUAACACAGAAAAAUAAGAAUGAACUAAAAGGGGAUGUACUGAAGCUAAUAUUGUAUAUAAUUAUUACACAAUAACAAUUUUAUAACUCAACUAUCUCUUACUGAACCUGAACUUGAUAGAGACCUGGAACCAAAUACACCUCACCUUUCAUACCUACCUUUUAUUAAAUCAGAAUUAAAAAUUCAUCAUGGGAAUUAACAUGCCUUUGCUACAUCUUUGAAGCAAGGAAAAU
rnacentral:lncRNA from 1 species